UUUAAAGUGAGGUUAGUAGAACAUGGAACAAGCAGCAAACCCAAAUUAACAUCUGAAUAAAAGAACAAAAAAUACAAGUUUGAACUAUAAAAACACAUCUACAAGAAAAAAUAGAAUAGUAGUAAGCUCAUAAGGAGACAUCAUCUUUGAGCCACUAAAGCACCAACUAAAGCUUCUUUAGAAAGCCAAGAAACGUACCAAAAAAUAUCAAUGGAAAGAAGACACCAACUAAAGUUGCCUUAGAAAGCCAAGGAACAUGCCAAAAAAAAUCAAUGGAAAGAAACACCACCAACACUGGGGGAACACAGACCAACAAACACCAAAAAGAAAAUGUAAAAAAGCUCCUUAAAGGUGCCAAAAUCAAAUGCGCAAACUUCUAACCAGCAAAGAAAAAACUUCGCAGCCUCGAAAAGAUUGGAGCGAUCGACACCAGCUUUCGCCGCCCCAUCCAUUGUAUCAAUUGCCGUGAGAAAACCUGAAAUGAUACACCAUAAACUCCCUCAAAACAGACAAAUCCAAGGCACUUUCUCCCUAAUCCCCAUUGAACCCUCCAUUCAAGAAAAACUAUUUCAUUUUUCAAUCCCAUGGCCACAACAAUUCUCAUACAAAUUAUACAAAUAAAAAACACAAAAGCUAGAUGGAAAAAAAAUUUCACAGACGUGCUCUGUCAUCCCUCUCUAUGAUCCACAUUAACACAAAAAUCACCUCCUCAUCUGACCAACAAGCUAUGAAACCAAAAGGUUUAUCAAGCUCCAAAGUCUAUUCCGCUUCAGCUCUCAGUACUCUCCUUCGAACAUUUUCGAUGCCUUAGUCCAACAGCGAUUCCUCGGCAUCAAUCUAUGAUCGCAUCACUUCCACUUAUUGUUUUCCAUUUCAACACUCGAUGUUCUUCCUCAAUUCGUAAUUAUCCUACCCUUCUUCCCAGAUCGCUUCAACACUUUUCAUCUAAACUCUCAAGAAUUUUGAUAACCUGUCGAGUUCUCUCAUACCUGCUCAGAGAUAAGACCCAUUCAAAGCAACACAACACCAAGGAUCAUUACCCUACUCGGAGACACUAAACAUCAAUAAUUCGCACACCUGCAUAUCUUGCUACAAAGCCUUUUGAUUCUUGUUCACCUAUAUCCUUUUGAAUGGGGUAUUCUUGUUCUCCAAUGCAUCCAUUAAGCGUACUAGCUUGAAUCCAACUUCCGUAACCAAACUCCUACAAAUCUUACUCUGCACAGGCCUUCAACAUGUCGGUUUAUAGCUCACUUCAGAUCUAAAGAGGGAGAAUUGUUAUACUAGCUUGAACAAGUUCGGCUGACUUAGGCUAAAGCCCAAAGAAACAUGUGGCUCAAAAGCCCCAAUCUUUAUUAAGCAUUAGCUAGCAGCUAAAGAACAUGCCACCUGAAGAGAAAAGUAGCUUUCGGCUUCCAACAUACCCUAUCAGAAAGAACCCUGACACCGCCCAAGCCACAAGGAACAAAAUGGCCAUAUUCCAG
rnacentral:lncRNA from 1 species